AUUUGAAACUAAUUUAGCAUUAAUAUUUAAAAAUUGUAAAUCUUUCAAUACCACGUUGAUCCACGUUAUGUAUUACCAAACAUACAUCUUAUCAUCCCCAUCUAUACCACAUCCUUUGGAUGCUAAUAUUUGCUCUUAGACAAUGUAACUUAAUUACAAUUCUAUAGAAUUUAACUUUUAUUUUGUCAGGAAUUCUAUAGUUGCAUACCCUAAUAGACCAUUAUUCAUUGAAGGUACUUUUCUUUGUCACAUACCCUAAUAGAUAUAUAUUACAGCCAUCCACUGGAGGUACAACAAGGUGUCUGGUUCAUAGUGGGUAUCCUAUGUCAUAGGAAAGAUCUGGUGAUCCAAUGUGGGCAUCCUCUGUACGGCGGAAGAACCUUUAGAAAUUUCCGGUGCACCAAGAAAAGAGAAAUUGAGCAUAGUCUAUUUGCAUCUCUUAGACCUCUAACUGCCAUCUCAUAUUUAGGUCCCUCCAUUAAAUUUAUGUUGCGACAUGAGACUUUUUGUUAACCAAAUUGCUGUUUCUCUAGAUGAGACCACUUCUUCCCCAAAUGGCUUUAACACACCAGCAAGCUCAUCAAUUUUGUCCUGUUUAAGUAGCCGUGCACAUAGCUCAAGCAAAGACUCUAGAGCAUCUGCUCUUUGCUGACCAGGAUUCUCCCACUCGCUUUUGGUUUCAUCACCAUGCAUUGCAGCUAGUGCAUUAAGCAAUGAAAUUUCACUUGGUGUUGGUACCCUCAUCCCAUAAGCGUCAUCUUUCUCCAUAUGCAUAGAGAAUUUAUUCUUAUCUGGUUUUGCUCCGAUUUCAUCUUUGCACGGAAGGAUAUCAUUACUUUCGGAUGAUAAGUAUUCCAUAUGAGUUCCUUCUGUGUACACAUCAGGGCUUUCUGGUUUCUGUAAACGGCGUUCCGACUCUGCAUAAGGUUUAUUUAUAGGUGACUCUGAGCUUUUAUCAUCAAAGGAAUCAACUUUGUCAGUGCAAUUUAGACCAGGAAUUGCCAAUUCCCUGCUAUCUGCUGCUGUCACACCCUCUCUGUCUGUUUCAGCUUCUUCAACAACUUUUUGGUUGCAAACAGUUAGUUGAUCUUUUGCAGUGACAAGUUUGACAUUAACCUCUUGCAAUUGUUGAAAAUGCUCAGAUGUGGUCUCUUCUUCACGUUCAGAAUUCCGUGAGUUCUUCAACAUAAACUCAAUUUGAGUGCUAUCUUUUUGAAGUAGACAGCUAGAGUCAACUUGCUUAUCUCCAUUGCAAACACUAGUUUCAGAACCAGAGGAGCUGUCCUUUGGACCAGUCAUAGAAUCUGAUAUUUCCACAGUACAGCUAGUAGGAUCAACCCUCUUGGUCUCAAGGUUGUCUUCUGCACUGGAUGUUGAUGUUGGGAUGUCAAUGUGGGGUUGAUUGCUUUGUUGCACUACACCAUUUCUCUCAAAUGGAUGAUCAUUUUCUAACUGGUUAAGUGGCCUAACUUCCCUAUCCUUGUUGGCUUUGUGACCAUUAGAUUUGCUGGACAAUGAUUUUCUCCUUGUUUUCUCCUUUGAAUUGUUUAUGGGCUUUAUUGGAAGUAAUGCAGAAGAAGCAUUGCGGCAACGAAGUAAAUAUGAUUGCAAAUGAGGAUGUCUUAACAGUUCUGCAGCUGUUGGUCUGUGUUCAGGGUUCUUCCUCAGCAUGCUCUUAAUAAUUUGUUUCAGCGAGGAGGAAUACACAAUUGGGAGAGGAGAAAUGGAGGAUCUAUUUAUUUUGUUGAUUAGUGAAGCCAUGUCCUGUUCAAUUCACAGCUUUAAUUAUGGUGCUUGAAAUUCAUACUGAAGCAAAGUACAUAUUCUUUACCAGCAGCUAUAAGAUAUUGAUGCUAUAAUAUACAAGUCAGGCUUGUACAUACAGGAGCCCUAAAUGCUGGUUGGUGUGCAGCCAUUUCAAACAUACAGCAGCCUGAAACAGCAGGAAAAUGUCACUCCUAAUGAAGGAAAUUUGAUAACUUUACAACCAUGCUUCAGAUUUCUUACCAAGUGACCAUAUGUCAGAUUUGUAGCCAUAAGGUAUAUCUGCUAGGAGCUCAGGACACAUAUAAUUAGGAGUGCCAACAACCUAGGUGACACACGAGGCAUAAAUAACAAAUAUGUGAAUAACUAAACAACCUAUUGGGGGAUAAGUAGUUCAAUCGUCAGCUCUAAAGUCUUGAAUCCAACAUAGUAUGACAAAAUAGUUUUAUUACAGAAUGAAAUAUAUUAGAAAUUUAGGCAGGAAGUUAUAACAAUGAACUGUCAAGGCAGUUUAAAGCCAGGGAUAUAACUUAAAUUGACAUUUUUGAAUCAAAAUAAGAUGUAGUGAGCAGAAAAUAUAUUCAAGUCCAUACCGAAGAAGCAAGGUCUUCUGUGUUAAGCAGCUUUGCAAGUCCAAAGUCACCUGUUCAGUCCAUACAAGAUAUAAAAUUCUUAGAAGACAUCAAGACAAGGAAGCCAAACCUGAUGAAAAUCCUUCUAGUUAGCAGUUCUUUUGCCUUCAUACCGAGGCGGACAUCAUUGUCCUUUGUAAGGAAUAUGUUGGAGCACUUAAGAUCUCUGUGAAGCACACGGUUAGAGUGUAGGUGGUCCACAGCUAGCAAUAACUGAGUCAACCAUUUGCAGAGUUUCUCUUCUGGGAAAAAAAUGCCUCUGGCCUUCUUU
rnacentral:misc_RNA from 1 species